rnacentral:rRNA from 1 species
AACGAACGCUGGCGGCAUGCCUAACACAUGCAAGUCGAACGAGACCUUCGGGUCUAGUGGCGCACGGGUGCGUAACGCGUGGGAACCUGCCCUUAGGUUCGGAAUAACUCCCCGAAAGGGGUGCUAAUACCGGAUAAUGUCUUCGGACCAAAGAUUUAUCGCCUUUGGAUGGGCCCGCGUUGGAUUAGCUAGUUGGGAGGGUAAAAGCCUACCAAGGCGACGAUCCAUAGCUGGUCUGAGAGGAUGAUCAGCCACACUGGGACUGAGACACGGCCCAGACUCCUACGGGAGGCAGCAGUGGGGAAUAUUGGACAAUGGGCGAAAGCCUGAUCCAGCAAUGCCGCGUGAGUGAUGAAGGCCUUAGGGUUGUAAAGCUCUUUUACCCGGGAUGAUAAUGACAGUACCGGGAGAAUAAGCUCCGGCUAACUCCGUG